rnacentral:rRNA from 1 species
AGAGUUUGAUCCUGGCUCAGGAUGAACGCUGGCGGCGUGCCUAACACAUGCAAGUCGAACGAAGCUUGACGGAUGAUUUCUUCGGAAUGAAACCUGAUAUGACUUAGUGGCGGACGGGUGAGUAACACGUGAGCAACCUGCCUUUCAGAGGGGGAUAACGGCUGGAAACGGUCGCUAAUACCGCAUGACGUGUUCGGAUGGCAUCAUCUGAACAUCAAAGAUUUAUCGCUGAAAGAUGGGCUCGCGUCUGAUUAGAUAGUUGGUGGGGUAACGGCCUACCAAGUCUACGAUCAGUAGCCGGACUGAGAGGUUGAACGGCCACAUUGGGACUGAGAUACGGCCCAGACUCCUACGGGAGGCAGCAGUCGGGAAUAUUGCGCAAUGGAGGAAACUCUGACGCAGUGACGCCGCGUGCAGGAAGAAGGUUUUCGGAUUGUAAACUGCUUUAGACAGGGAAGAAACAAGACAGUACCUGUAGAAUAAGCUCCGGCUAACUACGUGCCAGCAGCCGCGGUAAUACGUAGGGAGCAAGCGUUAUCCGGAUUUAUUGGGUGUAAAGGGUGCGUAGACGGGAAAUUAAGUUAGUUGUGAAAUCCCUCGGCUUAACUGAGGAACUGCAACUAAAACUGAUUUUCUUGAGUGCUGGAGAGGAAAGUGGAAUUCCUAGUGUAGCGGUGAAAUGCGUAGAUAUUAGGAGGAACACCAGUGGCGAAGGCGGCUUUCUGGACGACAACUGACGCUGAGGCACGAAAGUGUGGGGAGCAAACAGGAUUAGAUACCCUGGUAGUCCACACCGUAAACGAUGGAUACUAGGUGUAGGGUGUGAUAAACAUUCUGUGCCGUCGCAAACGCAGUAAGUAUCCCACCUGGGGAGUACGGCCGCAAGGUUGAAACUCAAAGGAAUUGACGGGGGCCCGCACAAGCAGUGGAGUAUGUGGUUUAAUUCGACGCAACGCGAAGAACCUUACCAAGUCUUGACAUCCUGCGACGAUGCUAGAAAUAGUAUUUUCCUUCGGGACGCAGAGACAGGUGGUGCAUGGUUGUCGUCAGCUCGUGUCGUGAGAUGUUGGGUUAAGUCCCGCAACGAGCGCAACCCCUGUUCUUAGUUACCAGCGAGUUAAGUCGGGAACUCUAAGAAGACUGCCGGUGAUAAAUCGGAGGAAGGUGGGGACGACGUCAAAUCAUCAUGCCCUUUAUGUCCUGGGCUACACACGUACUACAAUGGCUGUAACAAAGGGAAGCUAAGCCGCGAGGUGGAGCAAAACCCAAAAAAGCAGUCUCAGUUCGGAUUGAAGGCUGAAAUUCGCCUUCAUGAAGCCGGAAUUGCUAGUAAUGGCAGGUCAGCAUACUGCCGUGAAUACGUUCCCGGGCCUUGUACACACCGCCCGUCACACCAUGAGAGUUGGGAAUACCCGAAGCCUGUGAGCUAACUUUUAGAGGCAGCAGUCGAAGGUAGAAUCAAUGAUUGGGGUGAAGUCGUAACAAGGUAGCCGUAUCGGAAGGUGCGGCUG